rnacentral:rRNA from 1 species
GACGAACGCUGGCGGCGUGCUUAACACAUGCAAGUCGAACGGAAAGGCCCUGCUUUUGUGGGGUUCUCGAUUGGCGAACGGGUGAGUAACACGUGAGUAACCUGCCCUUGACUUUGGGAUAACUUCAGGAAACUGGGGCUAUUACCGGAUAGGAGCUCCUGAUGCAUGGGGGGGGUUGGAAAGUUUCGGCGGUUGGGGAUGGACUCGCGGCUUAUGAGCUUGUUGGUGGGGUAGUGGCUUACCACGGCUUUGACGGGUAGCCGGCCUGGGAGGGUUACCGGCCACAUUGGGACUGAGAUACGGCCCAGACUCCUACGGGAGGCAGCAGUGGGGAAUAUUGCACAACGGGCGGAAGCCUGAUGCAGCAACGCCGCGUGCGGGAUGACGGCCUUCGGGUUGUAAACCGCUUUCGCCUGUGACGAAGCGUGAGUGACGGUAAUGGGUAAAGAAGCACCGGCUAACUACGUG